AGCUAUUCUGAGUUGCUGACCUACCUUCCGAUGUAUCUCAACCAAACACGGGGACUAUUUCACCCCUACUACUAACACAUAACAUCAUAUCAUAAUCAUGUUGUCAGACAUAUCUGGGGUGUCCAACCUACCCAUUGGUCCUAAAUACUGAAUCAGGGAUUAGUCCCCUUCGACUGAUACUAUCUCAUAUAACAUGGCAAUUAACAAACUAGCAUACUCACAUAUCUAGUAGUCUAGCAUGCUCACAUAUCCAACAAUCAGACCAAACAGUUAUCAUAAAGAUAAGCAUCCCAACUAGCAAUUACUAUUAGGCCGACCUUAGUGCCUUAGAUCCUCUCCUACUGGAAGGUAACUCACCUCGACGUUGUGUAGUGUCUGAACUAUCCUCAGCGUGAAGGUCGGAUCUCCUCAACUCCUCAAUCCCUAUACUAAAACCCUCAAUUCAUCAAGCCGAACAUAUAACCCUAACCAGGGUCAAUACCAAAACCAGACAGAGUCAACAUUGGUCGAAGUCAACACCUAGUUGACCUGACUCACCGAGUUAGUCUACCAACUCGUCGAGUCCAUACUCCACUAACUCGAUCCAACCCCAACACCACUCGUUGAGUCUAGCAAGAACUCGUCAAGUUCUCCUUCAUCCAAACCAUCAGGACCAUCUUCAUCAGACUCGCCGAACUCUUCCUUGAACUCGGCAAGUUCAUCUACCUCAUAAGAACGUGUCCAGUCUACUACUCGCCAACUUGUAUGCAAAACUCGUCGAGUCCAUCUUCAAAGAUUGGGAGAUUGGCUUGGACUCGCCGAGUCUGUUAAUACACUUAUCGAGUGCCAUGAUUCCUAGGUCCAUUUUUGCAUCUAAACAUCUACAAGACUUUCCUCCCUAACAACUGGUCCAUCCAUAGAAAGGAUUUGGUGGUCAUUACACCGCGACUCGCCGAGUCCCAAGAACAACUCGUCGAGUCCAUCCAUGACCAACACUAUACAGUCGAUUUAUAUGAGCCUUAACACCUCAAAACCAUAGAUCUGGCACCCUAAUGUCUAUUUCAUACGUAAAGCUCCAAACUUGAUGCACAUUCAUUGGGGCUUUGGCACAAAAAUCCAUAAAAGGUGCUCUACAAGAUGCAUGGGGCUCUCAUGGCCAUAAAGUUGGCACCUUUAUGCCAUGAGACCCUUCCAAUGACUCAGAUAUGAAGUCAAGACCCCAAAUAACACUCCAUAAAUUCGACUAUGGCUUGGAAAGCCCUAAAUGUGAAUAAACACAUAGAAGACCAAAAUAGGGGCAUUUUACCUUGCUUGUGAUGAAAAUGGAACUAGAUAUUUGAAUCUCUAAGCCCCAACUCGAACUCUCAAGCUUCUUUCUUCAUCUAUAAGCUUCACAAACCACCACAUGCACCAAAAUGGCCUUAGCACACUAAAAAACGGCUUGGGUUAUGAUACACAACUUUCUGGGAGUGAGAACGGCAAUGGAGGCUGAGAUAAGGUGUUUAAAUAGGGUGCAAAACCUACGAUUUAGGGUUUCACUCAACCAACACCUACUCACCAAGUCAGUCCCCCGACUCAUCGAGUAGGUUACUUAAACUGUUUGUGGGUCACGACUCUACUCGACGAGUGGGGCCUCCAACUCAUUGAGUCGCAGAGAAAAACACAAAAUACUUGAAUAAUAGGAAUAUUGGGAAUCAGGUGUUACAAAUCUCCCCCAUUUAUCUUAGACUUCGUCCUCGAAGUUUGCUACUCGAUCCUGAAAAAGCUCGGGGUAAUGCUCCCUUAUCUCGUCCUCCGGCUCCCAGGUCCAUUCUGAGCCCUUGAGGUGCUGCUAUUGCACCUUUACCAACUCCACCCUCUUUUUUCUUAGAUCCCUUGACUUCCUUUCAAGGAUUGCCACUGGACUCACAAUGUAGUUCAAGUUGUCAUCAAACUGAAUAACCUCUAGAGGCACCACUGCUGAAUUGUCCACUAGACAUUUCCGCAACUGGGAGACAUGAAAAGUGCUAUGAAUACGAUUGAGUUCGGCUGGCAGAUCCAGCCUAUAUGCUACCUUUCCCACUCGGGCCGUAAACCUAAAGGGUCCAAUAUACUUGGGGCCCAACUUGCCCUGCUUCUUGAACCGAAUGACGCCCUUCCAUGGCGACUGUCACACCCUCAAACCAAGGAUGGCGGAAACGUCCGGGGUUGGAGGACUUCAUGUAGUAUCACAACAAUGAUUAUAAUAGUGCUCAAAGUAAAUACAACCAUCAUAAAUAUAAUUGAAAAAGUUACACCAAUGUAUAUGUUUACAUGUUUCAAAUCAAUUACAUUAUGAUGACAAAUGAACUAUUUGACGAUUCGACAUCCCAUCCUCAAAAUGUUGUUGGUUUUCUUGUUUCACUGAUUUCCUGAGAAUACAAGUUGUUUGAAAAAGUUUCAACACAAAGGUUGGUGAGUUCAUAAGAUAUUUCGUUAGAGAAGUAAACCAUUUUCCUAGUAAAAGCGAUAGAGUAUGUACCCAGAAAAUCUGAUAUUUUCUUUAUAAAAGUUAUGUGGUCCUAAAUCCCAGGACUGAGAAAUAACAAGUAUUUGCCAUACUUAAUGAUAUAAAAGUGGUUUUAAAUCGGCAUAAAACCCUUUUUGAUUUGAAGGAAAGUCCCGUAACAAAUGAUGUCAAGUCUUAAAUACCAAGACCAAAAGUGUACAGUAAUAUCCAUACUUAUUGAUAUAAAAAGUGAUUUUAAAUCGACAUAAAACCCCUUUUGAUUUAUAAAAAGUCCCGUAAACUAUAUGUGUUGUUAACGCCCUAUGUGAGUCGCUAUAACCAUACUAUGACUAGAGGUAACCUGCACAACGUCUUUCAGACGCCCUGAUCCUAUGACUUUUGUCACCCGCAGACCUGCCGGUCUGGCUGUAGCUAGCAGGGAAGUGUGGGAUGUCAACCCCAAUAUAGAUCUAUACAUAAUUCUCACGCUCUCCCUACAAGAGAUUUUGGUUAUAACUUACAGGAAUUUGGAUCCCGUACUCGGACGUACGGGGAGAGAAUGUCUCACAACCUGAGUUAACAAGUUUACGUGUAGUGUGCGUGAGUGUAGAACCUUUUUUUACAAAUGUACCCUUUUUGUAUGAGUAUGUUAUGUGAUGUAUCAUAAACUAUACCUAUUAUAGUUUAUUAAAACAAGGGUGAAAGUGGUAAUAUACCUAAACUAUACAUAACUUAGUUUAUUCAAAUGUUUGUAUGUAAUAGAUGUACUUUGAUUAUAACAAAUUGUUAUUUCUAUGCUUUGUCUAGAAAAGUCCAUUUGUUAACUGAUGUAUGUCUACAUAAUAAGGCAAUAUUGCCAUAUAUUGCGAUAACAUAUAAUCACAUAAAGAUAUACACCUUGCUCAACAUGCUACAAGGUGAAAUGAAAUUGAUAGCAUUUUUCUGUUGUUAACAUUUUGAUUUGCUGUUCUUAGAAAAUUUAUAGAAAAAUCAUCAAUGGUUUAAAACAGAAUCCAAAAAUUCUGAGAAUUUGGAAAAUGAGUCUAGUUUCUCCAUAAUUUUUCUGACGAUUUUUAAUGACCUCUAACUUGUGUGAACAAGUCCAUAAUCACAGACUGAUCCGGAUUGAUGUUUUGAAAUGAUAGGCUGUUUAGUAAAAAUCACCAUAAAUUGUAGAAAAAUCGUAUGGAGAUGUGAAAGUAGUCAUUUUAAAGGUAAGAACGUGAAAUAAUUUCACCAAAUACAGUUUUGAAAACAAAAAUGUUUAUGUGGUCCAAAAGAGUCCGUGAUUGGAGUCCAGCUUUUCUGAUGAAGGUUGUUAGAAAAGUUUAGUUAUGUUCAUGGUGUUUUAACCUGUAUUCCCCCCCCCCUAAAAUCUUGAGAAAACAUGAAAAUGUAGGGGUAUGAACUCACCUUAUGUGAUUUCAGUAGAUUAAUGUUGGAGAAAGAAAGUGUUUAACUCAAGAACACUUGAAGAUGCCUUGAAGAUUUUCGAGAAUCUAAGAUCAAAGUGAUGGAGUUUGUGUAAGCAAUCGAUGAUUUGAGUAGAAUGAAGUGUAAUAAUCACAAGGAGGAUGGAUUAUACUUACCAAGAGUAUGAUAAAGAUUGAUGAUCAGCCUUGGAGUCUUGAAAUCAAGAGAAAAAGUUUGAAAGAAAAGUGUUUGAUCUUUUGGUGGAAAAAGAGAGAAUGAAUGAAGUCUGAGGAGAGAGGAUGGAUGUUCCAUCUAUAAGAACGUGGUAAAUGGCUGGAAAUCAUGAUAAAUUACUUUGAAAUGAGCUAGGUAUGGUGUAAGGAGUGUGGUUGCUCAUGGAGUGGGUGUGGGUGGUUGCUUGUGUCAUAAACUAAAGAAAAAGUCAACACUCCAUCUCUUGUACUUCACCCACUCUUCUUGGAUAAGAUAUACCCAAAAAGGUGAUUAAUUAAUAAAUAUGGAGCUUUAUAUGUUAAAAUAAAGUUUUGGGUGAAAAUCCCGCGUUAAAACAAUUAAAAACGGGCCUAAAACGCAAAACUAGUUGAAAACCGAGUGAAAAAGAGCUUCCUGUGAGGCCUCUCGGUCCUAGGCCGAGGUUCUGUCCGAAGGGACCUUCGGUUCCUGAGAGGGUUCGGUCCGAGAAGGUGCAUUUCGCUUUUGAUGACUUCGCUUUUGACAAGUUCGCUUCUGAUGAUUUCUCUUCUGAUGCCUUUGCUUCUGACAAGUUCGCUUCUGAUGCCUUCGCUUCUGAUGUCUUCGCUUCUGACAAGUUAGGUUCCUAAGAGGGGUUUCUGGUCCUUAAGAGGGUUCAGCUCCUUAAGAGGGGUUUCGGAUCCUUAAGUCUAUUUUAUCCGUUUUUACCCCGUUUUAAGCGGUUUUUGACCUGGUUAAGGAUCGGGAUGGGCCGAAAGACUACAAAAAGGUUAAGGAACUUUUUAGAGAGAUUUAGGAGAGAUUUCACAUUCUUGGAGCGAUUUGGGAGAGAUUUGACAUUGUUGGAUAGAUUUCACAUACGGAGAGAGAUUUAGGAGAGAUUUCACAUUCUUGGAGCGAUUUGGGAGAGAUUUGACAUUGUUGGAUAGAUUUCACAUACGGAGAGAGAUUUAGGAGAGAUUUCACAUUCUUGGAGCGAUUUGGGAGAGAUUUGACAUUGUUGGAUAGAUUUCACAUACGGAGAGAGAUUUAGGAGAGAUUUCACAUUCUUGGAGCGAUUUGGGAGAGAUUCUAGAUAAAGAGAUAUAGAGUCAAAACGAUUGAGAGAGGUUUUGUGUGUGACAUUUGUGAGUCUUUGGCUCUGCAACGCAAUGUCCGUAAGCCCCGUUAAGCCACGUUCAAGGACCUUACACACUCCCGAUGAGUAUUCAAUAUUGUUUUAUCGGUUUGGUUCAUACUUAACGCAUUUUUAGAUUAAUGAAAUCUAGAUAUACGAACUUUUCAAUUGAUGAUUUCUCAUUAGCAUAACGAGUUGUAUAGAAAUAACACAGCGUAUACCCUAGUACACAAGGGUUAAUUAAGUCGAUCGGUUUGACUUGUUUACUUUGUAUGAAAUGAAAUGUUUUGUUCUUAUUUGUUUGCUUCUAGAAAAUCCUAUAUUUUCUACUAGUAUAAAUGUAGCCUUCUCUCAAGACCAAUGUUUGUUUCUAGAAAAUGUAUGUAACUAUAAAAUUUCCAAUACGUCUGAAAAACCCCGUAAAUCAAUGUGUUUUCAAUACUCCAUGUGAGUUUUAUAACCAUGAUAUUGACUAGAAAUGCCUAUACAUAACGUUCUUAAGGCGUUGGAAUGUUCUGACGUUUGUCACCCCAAAUGGUGGACUGUAGCUAACAGUCAGGGCGCGGGUUGUCAAGCCCGUAUAGAUCUAUACACAAACACCAUGCUCCCCCUCCAAGGGAUUCUGGUAUAUAAUAUAGGACUUGAAAUGCGUACUCGAACGUAUGUGAAGUUGAUGUCUCACAAAACUUAGUAUAAAACAGAUUUACGUGAAAAAAUGUUCGUUUGUUCUUGUAUAUGAAAGUAAACUUCUUGAAAUAGUGUUUCUAGUAUGUAAAAGUUUGUAAUGCUCACGUAAAACUAUACCUAUUAUAGUUUUCUAAAAAUGUGUCUCGUUUGCAUAGUAAUCCCUAGUAAAAUGUUCACUUGUUAUGAAAAGUGUAAUUUUUGAUGUAGAAGACAAGUUUGUAAACAAAACAUAUAUAUGUAUAUUUUCGAUGUAGAAGACAAGUUUGUAAACAAAACAUAUAUAUGUAUAUGGUUAUAUAUAUGUAUAAAUUUUAAAAGAUGAUUUGGUAUGUUUCGUAAUUGUUGUUCAUAUUCUUACGUUUUUAUUAGAAACUUUGCAUGAAAUAAUCCUUAAGUUUGAUACUAAAGACCUUUUUGUACUUAUCACUUUUGUAAAAAUGGUAAUUAAACAUAUUUAAAUGAUUGUGUUUUAACUUCCUUAAUGUAUAAACAUUGCUCAAAAAUGUUAGAAGGUGUUAAUAAAUGUAUAAACCACUUUUGACAGUUUUACCCUUUACUGUCCCUGUUUUUAGAAAACUCAUAGAAAAAUCCUCGUAAGUCAAAAACUGAAUCCGUCACCUCUGAGAGUUUAUAAAAUGAGUCUACUUUGUUCCUAAUUUUUAUUAUGAUUUUUAGUGGUCUCAAACUAGUGUGAAAAUGAACAUCUUCACAGACUGGUCCGAAAUCACUUCUGAAAUGACAGACAGUUUUAUAAAAAUCGCCAUAAAUUGUAGAAAAAUCGUGUGAACACGUGCGAGUAGUCAUUAGAAAGGUAUGAACUUAAAAUAUUUGCAUAUUGUACAUUUUUUAAUGAUAUUAAGUUUAAGAUGGUCAAAACAGUCCGUGAACAGGACUCAACUUUUCUGUAGAAAGUUGUCAUUUAAAUUUAAGUUAUGUUUAGUGUUCUAACUUGUAUUCCCCCCCUUAAAACUUGAAUAAAACAUGAAAAUGUAGGGGUAUGAACUCACCUUAUGUGAAUACUUGAAGAAUGGAAGGUUGAAGAUGAACUUUUGGUUGUUGGUUUGAUGCUCCAAAACAGCCACUCUUUUGGCUAUGUUGCUGUCACGAAAAUUUCACAGCAAAAGAGCAAGAAAAAGGGUAGUUUACUCACUGUUUUGAAUCAAUAAUUUUGAGUAUCAAAACAAGUAACUUCCAGGGGUAUUUGGUGGUAAAAAUAUCAAGCAAAAGGAAGGUGUAGAUGGGUGAAAUGGUGGCUGAAACACAAAAGGGACAGCAACCCUUUAGUUCAUGGUUUUGAUGGCUUUGGAAGGAAGUUCUUGUGCUUGAAAAUGAGAUGAAGGUUGAGAGUAAUUACUUGGAGUAUUGGCUGGUCAAAUGAGGGUAAAAUGAAGAGGAAAUUUCGUGGUUAUGAAGGAGGAAAGGGUGGAAGAGGAUAAGGGGACAAAACCUAGACUAGCUUGUGAUGGGAUGUGAGUUUAAGUGAUGUGAUCUUGUCUAGCCACUUGCUUGGGUGGUUGUUUAGAGAUAGAGUUAGUUAACUAACUAACUACUAGUUAUUUAGUUAGUUAGGAGUUCUAGUUAAGGAGAGGGAAGGUCUUAAUCUCGAAAAUUAGAAGAGGGAUUAAUAAGCAUUCUUAGUAAAAUGUCUUAAGUGAUUAAGCACUUAUUAGUUAAGUUGGCACUUAUCUCCACCAAUUCUCUUAUCUUAAUUGAUUUAGACAUCAUAAAACUUACAUGAAAUCAUUUUAAUUCAUGACUUAUAACUAGUCAUUCACUAGAUAAUAAUACAUAUAUACAAAUACAUACAUGUAUACUUAGUAUAAAAUAACAAUGUAGUUUUUGUGUAUUUGAACUUUAAUGUUUAUGUUUUAUUCUUUUUAUUCAAAAACACUUAAAUACAUUUUAAUUAUACCUUAUAAUAAUUCAUUUUAUAUUUUAAUUUAUUUAAAUAUAAAAUUUAUUGAGCAAUGUAUAAUUUCGUGACAUUUAACCGGUUAACCAUAUCGUUAAACACGUUUUGUCACUUUGGUUCGUAUAUUUGUCAAAUUUAGAUCCUUCACAUCUAUUAAGCAAACGUUUUACAUAGAACCUAACUUACUUAUCAACUAGAGACAUGUUGAUACAAAAAUUAAGUUUGUUGCGUUUAAAUGAUGUUAUAUGCUAAUUUCACAAACCGGUGAUGGUUCGUAGUCAUACAUCAUAACGAAAUUAUCAUUAGUUACUUGUUUUAUAUUUCACAAGAACUUAUUUAAAUAAAAGAGGUUAAAUUCUUUCAACCAUUCUUGAUAAAAUACUCAUAUUGUUUAAUAAUCAAAACAUAGCAUCGUACGAUCGUUCCUAUUUUUACCAAUUGUUACAUUCUCCCCCCGUUAAAAGAAUUUUGCCCUGAAAUUCAACUUGUAGACGGCAUAUCACUAAACAAUUGGGGGUGUUUCUUUUUUCUUUUCAUUUGAUUCUCGCGUUCCCUAGUGAAUUCAGGUCCUCGCAUGGCGUUCCAACGGGCCUUCACUAUGGGUAUGCGGUUUUGUGUCGUCCUUUUGACCUCCCAAUCCAUGAUUUCCACCAGUUCUUCGAUGAAGUUUAGACUCCCGUUGAUUUCAAUUUCAUCCAGUGGAAUAAAAAGAGUCUCAUCAGACAAGCUCUUCUUCCGAUCCUGGGAUGCCUUCAAUCAUUCACGGGUUUGAACAAUCUUCUCUGUAGUUUCUCGUAUGAUCUGGGGGCUGGUGAGAGUGUUGUUAGGAACUUGCCUGUUAGCUAUUUGUGUGUCACCUACCUCAUCCCAUCAAAGAGGUGAUCUACACUUGCUUCUCUAGAGAGCUUCUAAUGACACGACCUUGAUGUUAAUGUAAUAGUUGAUGUUGUAUAAGGAUUCGAUGAAUGGUUCUUUCUCUUUGUCUUUCAGUUUGAGGGUGAUAAAAAGGAUUUCUUUAACGACUAUUAAAAACACGAGGCGAAUCGUCUGUCCCUUAUCCAAAAUGAUAGAUAGUGGUAUGCUAUGUAGUCUCACAAUCUUCUUGUGAUAUGCUCGUGUCAGCUUUUCUAUUUUUCUUUGUAGCCUUGGUCGGUAGAAAGUGUGUGGGUUUGGUUGAUUUGUCUACGAUUGCUCAAGUGGUAGCAUGUCCAUCCACUGUCUUGGGUAACUUGUCAUGGAGUUCAUGGUAUGACUCAUAACUGAUUCAUCUAUCAUCUCUUUGUGUUUAUAAGUCGUAUAUAAUUAAGAUUGAAAAGACAGUCGAAUCGGUGAUUCUAUUCUAAGCCCACAUCCAAACAAGGAAAAGGAUUUAAAGCGGAAUUACCAACCCUAAGUCCGUAGAAUCUUAAUUAUAUAGGGCUCCAAUAUAUACACUUAGUAAUCAUAGAUUCACUAGUAUGGGUCCAUAGUCUCUACUUGAGUGGGGUGAUUAACUUGGGUGAGAUGGCAUUUACAACAACCCUUUUCCACAACUACUGCACUUAGGUUGAUUUUUGAACUCGGGUUGUCGUACGGAUGGUAUUCCCAGGAGAUUUUCUGGGAAUAUAUCGAGAAGGUUAUGGGCUUUUUCAACAUCCAUGAUGUUUUUCUCUUCUUGUUUCUUAUCCACAGCACGGGCUAGGACGGCGUGGUACCUCCUGUGUAAGUACUUCUGAGUCUUGUUGUAAAAGGUGAGUCGGGGGAUUGUGUCCGGUUUGUCGCCAUAGACAACGAGGGUUCUAUUACUCGAUGGGUUUAGGCGAAUGGCCUUUUCGUAAUAUAUGAUAUCGGUAUGGUGAGGAAACUAACUAAUACGUUGUUAAAAUGAAAAUGUCGUAAAUUUUUAUUGUGACCGGUUUUAGGAUGAUUUGAAUGAAUUGGUUGAUUUAGUGUUAGAGUGCACCCUAUGUACACGUCUCUAGUGCUUUUGAUUAUUCCAAUUCUACUGUAAAUAUUUCGUUUAAGUUUUUGAGGUUUUUGGUUGAGAAAUUGAUUAAAUCUACGACUCACAAUACUCCUCUCCGCGUUGCUAUUAUAUAGUAUCCAUGCAUAUGUGCUAUCGGGAAUGAACGUACCGGAAUCUCAGCGGGGUCUAUUACUGCUUUCCCACGCUCUGUUGCUAAAACACUUCCGAUGCUCUUGACAUCUUUGUUUUUAGUCUCCGGGAACUCCUUUAUGAAAUGCCCUACUUCUCCACAUCUGUAGCAAGUCCGACUCAUCCCAGCUUUUGUGUUCUGGUUGGUCUGUUGAGCCGGCACCCUACAGAAAUUUGUGGUAUGCCCCUUUUUCAUUAUAGUUCUUGCAAUGCAUUUCCCUGCACUUUCCUUUGUGAUGAAAGCUACACUUGGUGCAUUUUGGCAGGUUUCCAACAUAUGGUCUUGUUGGCACUGAGGUAGUAGGGAUGGUGGUGGUAUGGAAUGUCACUGUUUGUUGUACAAGUUGAGGUAUCGUGGAUUGGUGAAUAAUAAAAUCCAACCACUGAAAGAGACUUGGAAAUGUCUCCGUAUCUAACUUGCUAUGGUCCAAUGACUUAACUAAAGCAGGUUUCAGAUAGACUCCAAUGAGAGUAUGAUAAGAGUACUUGAAUGAUGGAAAUGACACAAAAGUUAGCCGGCGGUCAAUAUCUUGGAUAUUUACGGCGUAAAGGUUCAGGAAAAUGGCCUUGUAAAGGUCUUACAUCAUAUACACAGGAGAUAGUUCCUGACAGUAUAAAGACCUAACUAAAGUACUUACGGUACAAGAUAAUUUCAUAGAAAAUGCCACAUCAGGCAUAGACAGAAGAAUACGAUUCCUCUUUUUGUAAGGGAAAUAAAGUAAAGCGUCUACUACUGGUGACGGUAAUUCCUCUGGUGAAUUCUUAGUUCAACCAAUUGACGUUCCAUGUCAAGUAGGUGUCUCUAUUACACCCUCUGGCGUACUUGGAGCUCUAUGACUUUGGCUCGGGUUUUCAGCUAGUGUUUGCAGCAGGUUCUCAUGGUUUCUUUCUGAUCUCUUGUGAGCAUCUUCUAGAUGAGUGGUGUGGAGGGUAUUCAUUCUUGCAUCGGUGACAACUUCGGCAAUCUGAUGUUGGGCUGUCCUGCCUUGAAUCUCAUUUUGGGCCACUCUGCGGACCAUGAUUGGCAAGAUUCUACCUGCUGAGCCCCCAUUGCUCAGGUCGUAAAAGUUUCGGUCGCCAAUAAAUGGCAUGGGCUGAUCUUGUUCUUGGCUUCAUGUUUCCAAGCAUUCCACCGAAUCAGGCGUCGGGCCAUGAAGAGCUGGACGAGGGUUAGGAAUUGGAAAGGGAGUUGCUCGAGGUAGGUUCUCAACCUCUAGUUCGGAAUUAGCAUCGGCUGAAAGGUUUUCAUCAUGAUGAUCAUCCAAAGGGAUAGGAUGAUCAUUCUCUGGUUCUUCUCCAAACCAACCAGCUAUGACUUCAUUCGGAAGAUACUGGUUGUCAAGGGGAUGGAGCCCAACUAUGAUUUCUAUGCGAGAAUUUAGGGUAAGUGGAUAAUUAUUAGACGAACUAUCUAGAUAAUUAUUUAGAAAACCCUCAUUAGUUACAUCACUAUUUGUGAAGUGCAUACCAGCUAUGUGUAAUCUAAACAGGAUAGACCUUCGAAUAAGUGACCUUAUUUCCAAAUUCACACAGAAUAGGGGUAAGGCAAAAUUAUCACUGAUUCUAAGUCUAUAACAUCCUAAUUACAUGUAGCCUUAGUGUAUCCACUUAGCAACUAUCAACUUAGUAAUGAGGAUCCCGUUUUAAUUCUCAAGUAUAAAGUACUUAUAGUAACACCAAAUACUCCUAUAGUAUUUUAAUUUUUAUGUUAUGUUCUAUUGUUCUCAUUGUGGUAGGGUUGGUAAGAUUUUAGCAUUGUUGCGACUACACACUUAAACUUAGGCACAUGCUAGUCAACCCUCGGAUAAUAUAGGCGAUCAGGCUAUAUCUUCCCAGUUUUGACCAUAUGUCUCUAAGCCCACUUGUGUUGCCCAACAAUCGUAAUUCUUUUGUACUGUCCUAGUGACACUGAUUUUAGUAUGAAUGCAGCACGUAUACUUACUUAAAUAUUUUAUUAUUUAAAGUAUAAACUCUAAAUCAGAGUAUUUUUAAUCCCAUUGUAUUUAUAGUUAGUAUAUCUUUUAUGGGUUGAUAUACUCAAUUCACUAUAAACAAUGCUCUGAUACCAAUCUGUCACACCCCAAAACCAAGAACGGCGGAAACGUUCUGGGGCGGAGGACGUCAUGUAUGCAUCACAACAAAUGUAAAGUAGUAAACAAGCAACAACAUCAUCCAUUGCAUUAAUAGUAUAAUUUUAGUUACAAGUGUUUUCUUUCAUUGUACAAGAUAUGAUAAUAACUUAUCAAAAUAAAAGACGAGUCUUGACUGCUCCGUCUUCUCUAAACCUUGUAUCGACACCUGUCUAUUUGUAACCUGAGAAUACAAGUUAUUUUGAAAGAGUAGAUCAGCAUUUAAGCUGGUGAGUUCAUAAGUAUUUAAUGUCAUUGCUUUGAUUAGUUGAUAUGAAAGACUGGUAAAUGAAUGAUGAAACAUUUAGUAUAAGUACGAAAAGCUCUAGAAAAUCCCAUAUUUCCUACUAGUAUAAAAGUAGUCUUCUACCAAGACUCGAAUGUUUUGAAAGUAGUCUUUUACCUAGACCUGACUGUUUUGAAAGUACGCAUCUCUUGAAAAUGUGAUGGUUUUUCCUUGUUUAACUCUUAUUAGUAGUCUCUUAAGUAUACCUGAAAUGGUAUCAACUUAGAACAUCCGUAGACUGUUCAUUUACCUCUGUUGCUAACAGCCGGGUUUAGGAAUAGUUAGUCCCUUCUGUAUACCCACGAUGGUAUCAACCUAGAACAUCCGUAGAUUGUUCAUUUACCUCUGUAGCUAGCAGUGGUUAUCGGAAUGGUUAGUCCCUCAAAGUAUGAUGUGGUACUAGGAGAUAAAGUCCCAGUCUACCUCGUCGAUGAUGUGAUUGAAUCACAAGGUAAAGAUAGAAAGGCGAACAAUAUAACCGUAUCUAGACAUAUAACAUGUAAUAUUAAAUUGCCAUAUGAUGUCUAUGUAAAAGUAUUCAUGUAUAAGUAUUCAUGUAAAAGUAUUCCUUCAUAUAACAUGUAGUAGUAAUUUGCCAUAUAAUGUUUAUGUAAAAGUAUUCAUGUAUAAGUAUUCAUGUAAAAGUAUUCCUUCAUAUAACAUGUAGUCUGGACUCAUGAAUGAACUGACUCUGGUGUAAUUUCUUGUAGUAGUGAAAAUGUUUUGUUUACUCUAAACUAUUCCUAUAAUAGUUUACUAGAAUGUAAUUGAUGAGUGUCCAAGUAGGUUUAUACACCUUUGCUACCCAGGAGUAUCGAAACUAAAUUAACUGGUGGAACAUUUAUGACCAUAUAUGUAUACAUGAUAUAUAACUAAUAUUUAAACGACCUUCGGAGGAGUACCCGAUAUCCCACCAGACCACAUCCAAAUCGAGGAAAAGGAAACAGGGUGGAUAGCCUUUCUAAGUCUUUUAAACAUUUCUUAUAUAACUAUACAUAUAGAGGCAUGCAAUUUAUAAUAUAAAAGCAUAAAGAAGUUUUGUAAACAAAACAUAUAUAUGUAUAUGGUUAUAUAUAUGUAUAAAUUUUAAAAGAUGAUUUGGUAUGUUUCGUAAUUGUUGUUCAUAUUCUUACGUUUUUAUUAGAAACUUUGCAUGAAAUAAUCCUUAAGUUUGAUACUAAAGACCUUUUUGUACUUAUCACUUUUGUAAAAAUGGUAAUUAAACAUAUUUAAAUGAUUGUGUUUUAACUUCCUUAAUGUAUAAACAUUGCUAAAAAAUGUUAGAAGGUGUUAAUAAAUGUAUAAACCACUUUUGACAGUUUUGCCCUUUACUGUCCCUGUUUUUAGAAAACUCAUAGAAAAAUCCUCGUAAGUCAAAAACUGAAUCCGUCACCUCUGAGAGUUUAUAAAAUGAGUCUACUUUGUUCCUAAUUUUUAUUAUGAUUUUUAGUGGUCUCAAACUAGUGUGAAAAUGAACAUCUUCACAGACUGGUCCGAAAUCACUUCUGAAAUGACAGGCAGUUUUAUAAAAAUCGCCAUAAAUUGUAGAAAAAUCGUAUGAACGCGUGCGAGUAGUCAUUAGAAAGGUAUAAACUUGAACUAUUUGCAUAUUGUACAGUUUUGAAAGAUAUUAAGUUUAAGAUGGUCAAAACAGUCCGUGAACAGGACUCAACUUUUCUGUAGAAAGCUGUCAUUUAAAUUUAAGUUAUGUUUAGUGUUCUAACUUGUAUUCCCCCCCUUAAAACUUGAAUAAAACAUGAAAAUGUAGGGGUAUGAACUCACCUUAUGUGAAUACUUGAAGAAUGGAAAGUUGAAGAUGAACUUUUGGUUGUUGGUUUGAUGCUCCAAAACAGCCACUCUUUUGGCUAUGUUGCUGUCACGAAAAUUUCACAGCAAAAGUGCAAGAAAAAGGGUAGUUUACUCACUGUUUUGAAUCAAUAAUUUUGAGUAUCAAAACAAGUAACUUCCAGGGGUAUUUGGUGGUAAAAAUAUCAAGCAAAAGGAAGGUGUAGAUGGGUGAAAUGGUGGCUGAAACACAAAAGGGACAGCAACCCUUUAGUUCAUGGUUUUGAUGGCUUUGGAAGGAAGUUCUUGUGCUUGAAAAUGAGAUGAAGGUUGAGAGUAAUUACUUGGAGUAUUGGCUGGUCAAAUGAGGGUAAAAUGAAGAGGAAAUUUCGUGGUUAUGAAGGAGGAAAGGGUGGAAGAGGAUAAGGGGACAAAACCUAGACUAGCUUGUGAUGGGAUGUGAGUUUAAGUGAUGUGAUCUUGUCUAGCCACUUGCUUGGGUGGUUGUUUAGAGAUAGAGUUAGUUAACUAACUAACUACUAGUUAUUUAGUUAGUUAGGAGUUCUAGUUAAGGAGAGGGAAGGUCUUAAUCUCGAAAAUUAGAAGAGGGAUUAAUAAGCAUUCUUAGUAAAAUGUCUUAAGUGAUUAAGCACUUAUUAGUUAAGUUGGCACUUAUCUCCACCAAUUCUCUUAUCUUAAUUGAUUUAGAAAUCAUAUUCCUUACAUGAAAUCACUUUAAUUCAUGACCCAUAACUAGUCAUUCACUAGAUAAUAAUACAUAUAUACAAAUACAUACAUGUAUACUUAGUAUAAAAUAACAAUGUAGUUUUUGUGUAUUUGAACUUUAAUAUUUAUGUUUUAUUCUUUUUAUUCAAAAACACUUAAAUACAUUUUAAUUAUACCUUAUAAUAAUUCAUUUUAUAUUUUAAUUUAUUUACAUAUAAAAUUUAUUGAGCAAUAUAUAAUUUCGUGACAUUUAACCGGUUAACCAUAUCGUUAAACACGUUUUGUCACUUUGGUUCGUAUAUUUGUCAAAUUUAGAUCCUUCACAUCUAUUAAGCAAAUGUUUUACAUAGAACCUAACUUACUUAUCAACUAGAGACAUGUUGAUACAAAAAUUAAGUUUGUUGCGUUUAAAUGAUGUUAUAUGCUAAUUUCACAAACCGGUGAUGGUUCGNNNNNNNNNNNNNNNNNNNNUAAUAUAUCAUUAGUUACUUGUUUUAUAUUUCACAAGAACUUAUUUAAAUAAAAGAGGUUAAAUUCUUUCAACCAUUCUUGAUAAAAUACUCAUAUUGUUUAAAAAUCAAAACAUAGCAUCGUAGGCCGUUCCUAUUUUUACCAAUUGUUACAAUGAGUGACUUAGUUGACCUCGUACGUCUUUAGCUAUCUUAAAUCAUAAGUAAUAACUUCUCGUCGGAGUGUUGCAUAGGUUCUGCUGCAGUGUUCCAUGAUUGCUUAGCUCGGUAGGAAGCAUGCGGGUUUGGUUGAUGCGACUAGACUUAUUUGGAUGGUAGGAUGUUCACUCGUCCUCCUGGGCAACCUUGAUCCGAUGUUCAUGGCAGGACUCGUACUUGGUCUAUCCAUCAUUAACUUGCGCAUAUAGGUCGUAUGUACUUAAGGGUGGAUUUAAUAUUGUUUCCAAAAGAGACUAAUUAAGUAUAUGGGGAUUGAUUAUGUAAAUCAAUGAUUCUUGUAGUGUGGGUCAAUGAUCCAUGAUUAUUUUGGUCGGCUAAUCCAAUGAGAUAAUCCAUGGAGGUUAAAUCCAUGGAGCAUGAGAAUGUGGAAAGCUAUGGGUCAUUAGGGUUUACAAAGUGUAACCCUAACAUGUGCAACACUAUAAGUAGAACCCCCCAUGGACGAAAAUCAGUUGCCACAUCUAUUGAGAUAAGUAAGUUAUUCUCGUAAAACCUCAUCUUGCAUAUUGGUGUUUGUGAACUAUUAGAGGUAUCACACUUGGGGUGCUCAAGCUUUCAAAGGUCAAGAAAUCUACCCUACUCAAGAGGUAAGCAUCGAAACUAACUUUUUAUUAUAUAGCUUCAAUUGUAUGCUAGCUAGGUUGAAUGCUUUGGAAAAACAAAAUGCAUGUAUAAUUAGAGAAAACAUAGAUCCAAAGCAUUUAGGGUUGCAUGUGCACCAUAGAGUGUUAUAGUGCUCAAAACCCAACAUUUCAUUCACACACUUUUAUGAUAUUUCAGGGACUUUUGGCGUAGGAUCUUACUUGAGGAGGUAAAUAAGAGAUGUGGACAAAAUUUCGGGACUUGAAGAGCACCGGGGAUGAAGAUAUCAAGGAAUUGAAGAUUUUGGCUUUUUAGAGACUUACGCGGUCAUGUGAAUGGAACAUUAACAUCCCAAAAUUCGAGGCCAAAAAUUUCACUUUUGAUUAGGUGAUUUUUAAAAGGGUUCAUCAAAACAUUGCCAAAAUCAUGUCAAUACAUAAAACCAUAAUUUUCAAAACCAAAUCAUCUGAAAUAACAAAAUAUCAGAGUACAAUCCCAGAAAACUCUAAGCGGAAAUCAUAAGUGUGUGUGUGUGAUGCACUGCUACACCGUCGGCACCUUCCCCUUGGAUGAAGAGGUACCUGAAACCAAAACUGAAACUAUAAGCACAAAGCAUAGUGAGUUCCCCCAUCAUACCACAUACCAUACAAUCACAUAGCAUACAUACUACCGGGCAAUUCUGGGGUGCCCGUCCUACCCAUGUCAAGCCAUUCUGGGGUGUUGACAUACCCAUGUAAAGCCAUUCUGGGGUGCUGACCUACCCAGUUCGAGCUAUUCUGGGGUGCUGACCUACCUUCCGAUCUAUCUCAACCAAAAACAGGGACUAUUUCACCCCUACUACUAACACAUAACAUCAUAUCAUAAUCAUGCUGUCAGACAUAUCUGGGGUGUCCAACCUACCCAUUGGUCCUAAAGACUGAAUCAGGGACUAGUCCCCUUCUACUGAUACUAUCUCAUUUAACAUGGCAAUUAACAAACUAGCAUACUCACAUAUCUAGCAGUCUAGCAUGCUCACAUAUGCAACAAUCAGACCAAACAGUUAUCAUAAAGAUAAGCAUCCCAACUAACAAUUAC
rnacentral:lncRNA from 1 species